UACGGAGGGUGCGAGCGUUGUCCGGAAUCACUGGGCGUAAAGGGCGCGUAGGUGGCGCGGGCAGUCAACGGUGAAAGUUCGGGGCUCAACCCUGAAUCGGCCGUCGAUACUCCCGGGCUUGAGCACUGUAGAGGCAGAUGGAAUUCCGGGUGUAGCGGUGGAAUGCGUAGAGAUCCGGAAGAACACCGGUGGCGAAGGCGGUCUGCUGGGCAGUAGCUGACACUGAGAGACGAAAGCUAGGGGAGCGAAUGGG
rnacentral:rRNA from 1 species